ACGGAAGGCAGCAGUGGGGAAUAUUGCACAAUGGGGGAAACCCUGAUGCAGCGACGCCGCGUGAGUGAAGAAGUUAUUCGUAAUGUAAAGCUCUAUCAGCAGGGAAGAAAAUGACGGUACCUGACUAAGAAGCCCCGGCUAACUACGUGCCAGCAGCCGCGGUAAUACGUAGGGGGCAAGCGUUAUCCGGAUUUACUGGGUGUAAAGGGAGCGUAGACGGCUUAGCAAGUCUGAUGUGAAAGGCAGGGGCUCAACUCCUGGACUGCAUUGGAAACUGUUAAGCUAGAGUGCCGGGGAGGUAAGCGGAAUUCCUAGUGUAGCGGUGAAAUGCGUAGAUAUUAGGAGGAACACCAGUGGCGAAGGCGGCUUACUGGACGGUAACUGACGUUGAGGCUCGAAAGCGUGGGGAGCAAACAGGAUUAGAUACCCUGGUA
rnacentral:rRNA from 1 species